GGGAUAUAGCUCAGUUGGUGGAGUGCUUGCUUUGCAUGCAGAAGGCCCUGGGUCCAAUCCCUAGCACCCA
rnacentral:tRNA from 1 species